AUCCAGCGCGAGCAGAACGGCGGCGACCCCUGGCGGGCGGAAAGGGAGCAGCCGAACGCCGCCCGGUGGGUGGAGCCUGGACCUCGUGCGAAAGCUCCGCCCUCAAGGCCAGGCCUCCGGGAGUCCCGGAUCAGCAACACAAGCCGGAAAUCUUUGCGUCUGCUUCCUUGCCCUCCCGUUUGCCGGUCAGCCAAGGGAAGCUGAAGGAUGAGUUUAGAAAGUGGCCAGGUUGCUUUUGGUCAGUGUGCUGGAUAGUUUUUUGGCAACUUAACACAAGCUGCAGUCAUCUGAGAGGAGGGAACUUCAAUUCAGAAAAUCUUGAGAGGCAAUGUUCUUCAGAGGUGGCUUCAGACAAACCCUAUGCAAUAAAAACACCACCAAACCUCCUGAACCCAGGGAAAGCACAGACAAAGUGACGAUGCUGUGCCCACAAGGAUAUUUCCUCGCGGGAAGCCACCCAGAGUAAAGACAUGUAUGGCUGUUUUAGGAGCAUCCACCAACGUCAGAGAUGAAGAGGGGUAAACACAUAUCAUCCUAUGGAUUACUCACUUCAAUUUGGCUACCAGAGACUUAGAAUUGGGGGUGUGUGACUCACUAUACUGCAUUUUUUAUAUGUAUGUAUAUAUAUACAGGUAUAAUACAAUUUUGGUGAACAAAGUUGUAGGUUUUCACAUGGCAGACAGAGGCACUGAGUUAAGGAUUCUACUCUCCCCUCAAACAUGCUUAGUAAAUUCAAGUUUCUGUUA